rnacentral:rRNA from 1 species
GACGAACGCUGGCGGCGUGCUUAACACAUGCAAGUCGAGCGGUAAGGCCCUUUCGGGGGUACACGAGCGGCGAACGGGUGAGUAACACGUGGGUGACCUGCCCUUAGCUCUGGGAUAAGCCUGGGAAACUGGGUCUAAUACCGGAUAUGACUCCAUGACGCAUGUUGUGGGGUGGAAAGCCUUGUGCGGCUGGGGAUGGGCCCGCGGCCUAUCAGCUUGUUGGUGGGGUGAUGGCCUACCAAGGCGACGACGGGUAGCCGGCCUGAGAGGGCGACCGGCCACACUGGGACUGAGACACGGCCCAGACUCCUACGGGAGGCAGCAGUGGGGAAUCCUGCGCAAUGGGCGAAAGCCUGACGCAGCGACGCCGCGUGAGGGAUGACGGCCUC